UACUUGUGUGUAAAUGUAUUGUGAGUAACGUUAAAUUUGUGUUUUGUUGAGACAAAAUAUUAGUUUUUAUCUUUGUUUAGGACACUGCAACACUAGUGCCCUCUGUCUGCCUGGUUAGAGUCUAUCACCAUGACCUUGUAAAUGAUCAGAAUGUUUCAGUAAAAUAAAUUGUUCCUACUUUUGUCGACAGGUGAAGAGGAAACUGAAAUAUCCAAGCAUGCAAGAUUCUUUUUAUAGGUUGCGUGGCCAGGGGGACCCCUCAAUUUUCAACGUAUUUUUGUUCUACACAUUCAAAUUGAGCAAGAAAUUCCCUGUAGUGGCUCUUCCUUGUUACUGCUGUGGAUCAUCCUAAUGGAAGUCUGGUAAAAAAAAAAGACCAAUCAUAAUCAAGUAUGUAAUGUUUGUGAAGCGCAGAAAACAGUGGGAAAGUGAUCUCAGAGGUACGCCCAGUCAGUCUAUUGUAAUGCAUAAUAAUAAUUUCUUUCAUUUGGUUUUGUCUGUCAGAUCCAUGUAACUAGCAAACAGUAGACAUACAUUUUCAAGCUAGAGAUUUAGACUACUGGAGCUGUUUUUACUAGACGGUAACAGAUUCUUGUUUCCCGCAGUUGUACACAUGACAGUGAUGUUUGUUGCUGACCUAAUAACCAGCCACCACCUUCCAAUUAAAUGAGUUUUGAUAUUUCCUUUUAAGCAAGUCAGUGCUGGGGCUGGACUUGCAUGUGAUUCACAGUGCUGGUGUUGGUGGACACAUUUUUGACACUUGGUAACUAGAAACAGUAAUGUUUUGUUUCAGAUAACCUCAGGGUCUGUUGUUUACUGCUCUGAAAGGGUAUAGUGUAGA
rnacentral:lncRNA from 1 species